UCUAAGGAUGAAUAAAAUAAAAUUUUAUUCUAAAUAAUAUACACGGUUAAUGUUGACCGUCCUCAUUUCUCUUCUUAAGUUAGUGUUUCUCUUGAAUGGGGGCCGGUAGCUCAGUUGGUUAGAGCACACCCUUGAUAAGGGUGGGGUCGAAAGUUCGAGUCUUUCUCGGCCCACCAAUUAAAGAUUAAGGGGGAUUAGCUCAGCUGGGAGAGCGCCUGAUUUGCAUUCAGGAGGUCAGCGGUUCGAUCCCGCUAUCCUCCACCAAACACUUAGCUAUAUAAAUUGUAAAUAAAAAUAAUAAUUAAUAUCAAUAUCUAUAUCCGAACAUUAGUAAUGUUAUUAGCUAAUGUUCAAAAUAAAAAAAUUUGAUUCAACACAGAAUUUUUUUCUGUGCAUAAAU
rnacentral:tRNA from 1 species